AGGAAAAGCCACUAAGCUUCAGCUGUAGAAAAACCGUACCGCAAACCGACACAGGUAGGCAGGGUGAGAAUCCCAAGGCGCUUGAGAGAACUCGGGUGAAGGAACUAGGCAAAAUGGCACCGUAACUUCGGGAGAAGGUGCGCCUCUUGGUGUGGUCACGUGCGUGACUGAGCAUCGAGGGGUCGCAGUAACCUGGCCGCUGCGACUGUUUAUCAAAAACACAGCACUCUGCAAACACGAAAGUGGACGUAUAGGGUGUGACGCCUGCCCGGUGCUGGAAGGUUAAUUGAUGGGGUCAGCCGCAAGGCGAAGCUCUUGAUCGAAGCCCCAGUAAACGGCGGCCGUAACUAUAACGGUCCUAAGGUAGCGAAAUUCCUUGUCGGGUAAGUUCCGACCUGCACGAAUGGCGUAACGACAGCGGCGCUGUCUCCACCCGAGACUCAGUGAAGUUGAAAUCGCUGUGAAGAUGCAGCGUUCCCGCGGCAAGACGGAAAGACCCCGUGAACCUUUACUAUAGCUUUACACUGAACGUUGAGUUCUUCUGUGUAGGAUAGGUGGGAGGCUAUGAAACCAGGACGCUAGUUCUGGUGGAGCCAUCCUUGAAAUACCACCCUGAAGUGCUUGACGUUCUAACCUAGGUCCGUAAUCCGGAUCGGGGACCGUGUAUGGUGGGUAGUUUGACUGGGGCGGUCUCCUCCCAAAGAGUAACGGAGGAGCACGAAGGUACGCUCAGCGCGGUCGGACAUCGCGCACUGUGUGCAAAGGCAUAAGCGUGCUUGACUGCGAGAUCGACGGAUCAAGCAGGUACGAAAGUAGGUCUUAGUGAUCCGGUGGUUCUGUAUGGAAGGGCCAUCGCUCAACGGAUAAAAGGUACUCCGGGGAUAACAGGCUGAUACCGCCCAAGAGUUCAUAUCGACGGCGGUGUUUGGCACCUCGAUGUCGGCUCAUCACAUCCUGGGGCUGUAGCCGGUCCCAAGGGUAUGGCUGUUCGCCAUUUAAAGUGGUACGCGAGCUGGGUUCAGAACGUCGUGAGACAGUUCGGUCCCUAUCUGUCGUGGGCGUUGGAGAUUUGAGGGGGGCUGCUCCUAGUACGAGAGGACCGGAGUGGACGUUCCGCUGGUGUUCGGGUUGUCAUGCCCAUGGCAUUGCCCGGUAGCUACGAACGGAAGUGAUAACCGCUGAAAGCAUCUAAGCGGGAAGCACGCCCCAAGAUGAGAUCUCCCGAGAGCUUGACUCUCCUAAAGGCACCAUCAAGACUAGGUGGUUGAUAGGCACGGUGUGGAAGUGCAGCAAUGCAUUGAGCUUACGUGUACUAAUGAGCCGUGAGGCUUGACCAA
rnacentral:rRNA from 1 species